AUUGAACGCUGGCGGCAGGCCUAACACAUGCAAGUCGAGCGGAUGAAGGGAGCUUGCUCCUGGAUUCAGCGGCGGACGGGUGAGUAAUGCCUAGGAAUCUGCCUGGUAGUGGGGGAUAACGUCCGGAAACGGGCGCUAAUACCGCAUACGUCCUGAGGGAGAAAGUGGGGGAUCUUCGGACCUCACGCUAUCAGAUGAGCCUAGGUCGGAUUAGCUAGUUGGUGGGGUAAAGGCCUACCAAGGCGACGAUCCGUAACUGGUCUGAGAGGAUGAUCAGUCACCCUGGAACUGAGACACGGUCCAGACUCCUACGGGAGGCAGCAGUGGGGAAUAUUGGACAAUGGGCGAAAGCCUGAUCCAGGCAUGGCGCGUGUGUGAAGAAGGUCUUCGGAUUGUAAAGCACUUUAAGUUGGGAGGAAGGGCAGUAAGUUAAUACCUUGCUGUUUUGACGUUACCAACAGAAUAAGCACCGGCUAACUUCGUG
rnacentral:rRNA from 1 species